GGGCCGGACACUGUGUUACACCGCAAAGGAGCUCAGUCCUCUCUUUCCCUACCUUCUUUUCCAACAAUCGAAACCCUUUUUUUCCCCCAAAACCUCUGAUCCUUUUUCUUGGGAACCAAAGCCAAGGCCGUGACGUGCAACCCAUCUUCCUCCACCUUUGCUCGACCAAGAGAGCCAAGCCCACUAAGUUUCAAACCACUUGCAUGGAUAUGGAGCUUUCUUCAUCUCUGGGUCACGAUUCUUUGUUGAAAUCAUGGAAGCUUGAUAGGAAUAACAUCAGUGGAACUAUUCCCAGUGACUUUGGGAAUCUGAAAAUUUUGGUUAGCUUCGAUCUCUAUUUGAAUGACUUCUCUGGUUCCAUUCUUGACAGCUUGGGGAAGCUGACAAAGCUGCGGUUCCUGUAUGUAUCUUUCAUCCUAUUUCUUCAGCUAAUGAAUUAAUAGUUUGUGUUUGCUAGUCCUCUCUUUUUUGUGUUGGCUUCAGUGUUAACUAAGGGUUAGUUUAUUUAUUUAUUUAUUUUUUUUUUUUUUUCUGGUAUUUGGAUACAAGGCUUGCCUAGGAACUGUUAAAAGAUGAUGUUUUGAUAAAUGACAUUAUGGAUGUAACUGAUCAUUUUGAUCCAAAGCUAUCAAGAGAAACCAAAACAUGAUGGAGUCAGUUUUUUAGAUUAUGGAGCAAGGAUGGUGUAGUAUAAAAUGCAAAAUAUGGGAAAAAAUGCACUGAUUUACAUGGUCAAGCAAGGUAAGUGCUCUCUUGGACUAAGAUCUCCAGUGUAUUUACUAGGUUCUUUUAGAUUCCGAAAAGUAGGACAGAGAUAAGAUAUUUUGAUUAUAGUCCUUUGGGACUUGCUUACUGUGCAAUCUUAUGGACUAAGAUCUCAAGAAAAUUGAGCAGCUCCCUAUUAUGUUCCAAUGUAGAGGUAUGUGGAUUGUACUCUUCACUUUGUAUUAAUUUAUCUUUUUUGGAAAUGUAUGGAUUUGGAAGCACUUCUGUAUAGAUUGCCAAAUAGUCAUCAGCACAGCUACUAAAGUUUUUAUUUCUUACUUAUCAUAUGGUUGACUCUGAAUUUGAAAAUAGAAGUCAUUUCCUUGAAAAGUCAAAUUCCACUGCUUACCUAGAUAGUCUUAAUUAUAGUUGUUAGACCUAAAGAAAGCCUAGAGAAGUAAGAGAAUUAGAGAACUCACUACAUUCUUCUUGCUCAGUCCAUUUGGCUCCGUUCAUUUCAACAAAAAAAUUAUAAAAUUGGAACCAAAAUAAGUUUUUUGGAAUCAUAAAGAGUCAGAUAUUCUUUGACUCGAGUACAAUAGUGAAAAAUGUGGAAAACAACUUGCAAAUCAAUCAUGCCUUUUCUAUCCAUGGAAGUCACCAACCCAUUAUAUUGCUGGAUUUGUUCCCUCAAUAUCCCAUGCCUUUAGGAUUGAUUGUUUGUGUCAAGAUCACCUAGUGGACACUCAUCAAAUUUUUGAACUAACUAAAGUAAAAUAGCAAUUGAAAAUAAAAAACAGAAUUAAUUGUUUGAUUUUCAAUCAUUAGAAUUUUAUUUAUGAAAUAACUUUGAGCUUGACUACUUGUGCCCUUUGGAAUGAUUCAAAGCUGAGACACAAACCACGUUAAAAGUUGCCAUGAAUGCUUAUAUUUUAAUUCCAUGUUGAGAUACAACUAUUGACUCUUCUAUCUUUAAUACUAAUUGUACUCUAGAAAUUGAUCUCCUCAGUUGUAGGGCAAGCCAAGUCAAAGUGAUGGAUCAAGAGGAAAAUUUGUUACACAACAUUACCUUGAUCAUGAAUACAAUUCUAGGGUCGUUUGAGUCCUAAGCUGUAACUAAAUUCACACAAAAAAAUGAAAUGACCAAGUGGUUGAAACCUACUCCAUGGCUAUAGGGAAUCCUUAUGUUCAUGCUAUGGAAAUGACCAAGUGGUUUCCAUAGGGAUGGCUGAUGCUGGGAUCAAGUACAUUCCAAGCAACACAUUUCUCGUACCACAGUCAAAUGCUUGAUACUGCAGCAAUGCUUGGGGUAUCCGAUACUCUUAAUGGUCAAAAUGAGUCAGCACUACAAGGAAGUAACUCGGAAACUCAAAUAUAGAGCUUGGGAGCCUUGGAUUCAAACAAGGAGGACUUAAAAUUAGUCGAGUCUUUUUAAUGCAUUCUUGAAUACCAUAUUUUCAUCACCACCAACGGUGGGGUUGAUUGUUGCUGUGUUCCUUGACAACACAUUGAAAGUGGAGAAGUGAAAGAAGAAUAGAGAGAUGCUUUUUUGGUUGAAGUUCAGAACAUUUAGAGGUGAUAACAGAAAUGAGGAAUUCUACACUUUGCCAUGCAAUCUCAACAGGUUUUUUCCUCCCACCUAGCAACCACCCCUAUCACUAAGCAACCUAGUCUUGUGAAGCUCCAAUUGAAAGCUCUCAUCGUAGUUGAGAAUGACCAGCUUUUUUGAGGAUUUCUCUACGACCUUUGCAUCUUUUGUAAUUUUGCCACACCAUCAUUGAAUGGCCUCAAGCAUUGUAAAGCAUUUGACCUAGGCUUUGUAGGAUCUGAUAUAAUAAGAAAAAAGUUUUGGUCUUU